rnacentral:lncRNA from 1 species
CAUGUAGUCAUAUUUUUCAAUACGAAUUAAAUAUAUCAAUUAACAUGAAUUAAAUAUAUCAAUUUUAUUUUUUAAUUUAAAAUUUUGAAUGACGAAAAUAUCUUUCUAUUCUAAAAAAAUUAUGACAUUUCGUGAUCUGUUAUGACAUCCCAAAGAUAUAUUACGACUUUCUGAAAACAGAAAGUCAUAAAAAGAAAAAUAUUUUUAUCAUUAAAAAAUUUAUAAAUUUUAAUAACAAAAAUAUCUUUCUCUCCUUGCGACUUUCUGUUUUCAGAAAAUCAUAAUAUAUCUUCAGAAUAUCAUAGCAGAUCACGGAUACUAUAAUUUGUUCAGAAUAGAGAGAUAUUUUUGUUAUUCAAAAUUUUAAAUCAAAAAAUAAAAUUAUAAAUAUUUAAUGAAUAUUAAAAAAUAAAAAUAUAUGAUUUAAUAAGAUGGCACGGUGCACUCCACGUCAGUGCACCAUAUCAAUUUUAUUGCGGUGCACAAAGAAUUACUCGUCCCAGGUGACUAUAUGCUCAAGUGGGCUAGCACUUGUUCUUAAGCGUUCCAGGCUCCAAUUUGUUAUCCUCCGCCCCCUUGUAUCCGGAAAAAAAAAAAAUUGUUGUCCUCUGACAGCCUCUCGAUCGCUCUUGGUCUCCAUGUUUUCUUUUUCCUGUUUGUCUGGACUGGCUACAACCAUCCACGCCAUCUUUUACAUGAAUUGUACGUAUAUAUAUUCAUCUCUCACUAUAGCACCAAG